AUUGAACGCUGGCGGCAGGCCUAACACAUGCAAGUCGAACGGUAACAGGAAGAAGCUUGCUUCUUUGCUGACGAGUGGCGGACGGGUGAGUAAUGUCUGGGAAACUGCCUGAUGGAGGGGGAUAACUACUGGAAACGGUAGCUAAUACCGCAUAAUGUCGCAAGACCAAAGAGGGGAACCUUCGGGCCUCUUGCCAUCGGCUGUGCCCAGAUGGGAUUAGCUAGUAGGUGGGGUAACGGCUCACCUAGGCGACGAUCCCUAGCUGUUCUGAGAGGAUGACCAGCCACACUGGAACUGAGACACGGUCCAGACUCCUACGGGAGGCAGCAGUGGGGAAUAUUGCACAAUGGGCGCAAGCCUGAUGCAGCGAUGCCGCGUGUAUGAAGAAGGCCUUCGGGUUGUAAAGUACUUUCAGCGGGGAGGAAGGGAGUAAAGUUAAUACCUUGGCUCAUUGACGUUACCCGCAGAAGAAGCACCGGCUAACUCCGUG
rnacentral:rRNA from 1 species